rnacentral:rRNA from 1 species
UACGGAGGGUGCAAGCGUUAAUCGGAAUUACUGGGCGUAAAGGGCGCGAAGGUGGCCUGUUAAGCCGGUUGUGAAAGCCCCGGGCUCAACCUGGGAAUGGCAUCCCAGACUGGCAGGCUAGAGUACAGGAGGGGGGGGUAGAAUUCCAGGUGUAGCGGUGAAAUGCGUAGAGAUGUGGAGGAAUACCGAAGGCGAAGGCAGCCCCUUGGGCAGGUACUGACGCUCAGGUGCGAAAGCGUGGGGAGCAAACAGG